ACUCCUACGGGAGGCAGCAGUGGGGAAUAUUGCACAAUGGGCGCAAGCCUGAUGCAGCCAUGCCGCGUGUGUGAAGAAGGCCUUCGGGUUGUAAAGCACUUUCAGCAGUGAGGAAGGUGGAGUCGUUAAUAGCGGCCUCAUUUGACGUUAGCUGCAGAAGAAGCACCGGCUAACUCCGUGCCAGCAGCCGCGGUAAUACGGAGGGUGCGAGCGUUAAUCGGAAUUACUGGGCGUAAAGCGCAUGCAGGUGGUUUGUUAAGUCAGAUGUGAAAGCCCGGGGCUCAACCUCGGAAUUGCAUUUGAAACUGGCAGACUAGAGUACUGUAGAGGGGGGUAGAAUUUCAGGUGUAGCGGUGAAAUGCGUAGAGAUCUGAAGGAAUACCGGUGGCGAAGGCGGCCCCCUGGACAGAUACUGACACUCAGAUGCGAAAGCGUGGGGAGCAAACAGGAUUAGAUACCCUGGUAGCUCGAUGU
rnacentral:rRNA from 1 species